rnacentral:rRNA from 1 species
UCAGCUUUCGACGGUAAGGUAUUGGCUUACCGUGGCAGUGACGGUUAACGGGGAAUUAGGGUUCAAUUCCGGAGAGGGAGCCUGAGAAACGGCUACCACAUCUAAGGAAGGCAGCAGGCGCGCAAAUUACCCAAUUCUAACAGCAUAAGAGAGGUAGUGACAAGAAAUAACAGUACAAGGCAGUUAAAAUGCUUUGUAAUUGGAAUGAUAGAAAUUUAAAUACUUUUUAAAGUAUCAAUUGGAGGGCAAGUCUGGUGCCAGCAGCCGCGGUAAUUCCAGCUCCAAUAGCGUAUAUUAAAAUUGUUGCAGUUAAAAAGCUCGUAGUUGAAUUUUUGCUAAAAAUAACCGGUCUGCUUUUAUUAAUAAAAGUGGUAUCUUGGUGUGUUUUUAGCAAUAAUGUCCUUUGAAAUGUUUUUUACUUUAAUGUAAAAAACAAUUUUCAGGAUUUUUACUUUGAGAAAAUUAGAGUGUUUCAAGCAGGCUAACGUUUUGAAUACUGCAGCAUGGAAUAAUAAAAUAGGAUUUUAGUUCUACGUUAUUGGUUUUAAGAACUAAAUUAAUGAUUGAUAGGAGCAGUUGGGGGCAUUUGUAUUUAACUGUCAGAGGUGAAAUU